ACAAACCAAGUCCAACACAGAUUCAGCUCCCCAAAAAAACCCUAAUUUCUUUUUUUGACAAAAUAAAUAGAAUUUCACAAGCCACAAGCAGGAUUCGAACUUGCAACACUUUUUUUUUUUCUCGAAAGCGUGCGCUUUACUUUGAUUGAUUAGAGCCUCGGCUCCACACCUUUAAAGAAAAUUGUUUCAAGCAUCUCUCUCUUCCCCUCUGUCUCUCUCUCUGAAGAGACAAAUUAAAAUAGAACUUGGCAUGAAGAUCUCCCUCAAAGAAAUUUAUUAGAGUCAUUUUCAUCAAGACCAUCAUCCAGAACUCAAAGAUGACGUAGCACUACGAAAAUCAAAACAACACAAGAAAAUCCAAUUGCAAGACAGUUUUCAAAUAUCACUCGAUUCUUCCUUAUCAAGCAAGACGGUUUUCAGAUAUCACUUUGCAAGGGAGCUUUGUCCUUCAUCUAUUUCUAGUUGGCGCCAAUCUUUUCUUUGUCAAGCUGACAGUUUUCCAAUAACUCUUCCAAGGGAGUUCAUUACUUCUUUAACUUGAUCGUGUCUUUCAAUAAAGCACAAAGCUUCCUUAGACUCUCCCCUGUCAAAUCCUUCCUUCCUUUUCUCUAUUAUCUUUUCCCUGUCAAAAGAACCCUAAUUUCCAUUCAAAUGUGCUCAAUUUCCUCAAAUAUAGGGGAAAUCAAUGUCCAAAAAGCUUAUAUGG
rnacentral:lncRNA from 1 species